UACAGAGGGUGCAAGCGUUGUUCGGAAUUAUUGGGCGUAAAGCGCGUGUAGGCGGCUUUGCAAGUCGGGUGUGAAAGCCCUCAGCUCAACUGAGGAAGUGCGCCCGAAACUGCUUAGCUUGAGUAUCGGAGAGGAUGGUGGAAUUCCCCAAGUAGAGGUGAAAUUCGUAGAUAUGGGGAGGAACACCGGUGGCGAAGGCGGCCAUCUGGACGAUCACUGACGCUGAGACGCGAAAGCGUGGGGAGCAAACAGG
rnacentral:rRNA from 1 species